UCUCUCUCUCUCAGGCGGGAAGGGAGCGGACAUGGGGAGGUUGCUGCUCGGCCACUGGGCCGGUCUGUUUGGGAGCCUCGUGGUGAGCCGGCCCAGCCAGAGCCGCUGGGCAGGGGCGCGUGGUUCGAGAGCACAGAUGUAGGCAGACAAUGCCCAUUGAUGCGCUUUGCCAAGUUGACAAAUACCACUUUACAAGAAGUUGGUAUGACAGUUCCUGAAUGUGGAGAAAAUUAGUCUGAAUGAAUAGAAGACUACAGUUUCUGUACAUAUGGCUUUGUAUACUAUGUAAAGAUUUCUACAGAAUUUCUACAGCUCAAGUUCGGCAGCAUUUCUUCCACCAGAAGAAUGUUCUGGAAGAAAUAUACAGGAAGAUGAGUUUUUAAAAGAUGGAAUUUGGAAAUCUGUAAAUCAUGGUAACAUAUUACUAGUAUGUUCACAAGAAGACUCAAAUAGCUUUUAACUAUAUGCGGCAGUGGUGGGGGAAUGGUCUUGGGUACUAAAAAAUAAAGACUAUAUAUUUAUUUUUAAUUGCUGCAUUUGUUGAAUUUUUUUAAGUACCAGCUUCUCAGUUAACUAAAAUCAGUUGUUAUACUGUGGUAAUAAAAUAUUGAUCCUGA